GAUGAACGCUGGCGGCGUGCCUAAUACAUGCAAGUCGAGCGAACAGACGAGGAGCUUGCUCCUCUGACGUUAGCGGCGGACGGGUGAGUAACACGUGGAUAACCUACCUAUAAGACUGGGAUAACUUCGGGAAACCGGAGCUAAUACCGGAUAAUAUAUUGAACCGCAUGGUUCAAUAGUGAAAGACGGUUUUGCUGUCACUUAUAGAUGGAUCCGCGCCGCAUUAGCUAGUUGUUAAGGUAACGGCUUACCAAGGCAACGAUGCGUAGCCGACCUGAGAGGGUGAUCGGCCACACUGGAACUGAGACACGGUCCAGACUCUUACGGGAGGCAGCAGUAGGGAAUCUUCCGCAAUGGGCGAAAGCUUGACGGAGCAACGCCGCGUGAGUGAUGAAGGUCUUCGGAUCGUAAAACUCUGUUAUUAGGGAAGAACAAAUGUGUAAGUAACUAUGCACGUCUUGACGGUACCUAAUCAGAAAGCCACGGCUAACUACGUG
rnacentral:rRNA from 1 species